UGGGCUGUGGCUCAGUGGUAGAGCACUUGCCUAGGACGGGUGAGGCCCUGGGUUCGAUCCUCAGCACCACAU
rfam:Ictidomys tridecemlineatus contig053200, whole genome shotgun sequence.